CCGCGUGAGUGAUGAAGGCUUUCGGGUCGUAAAACUCUGUUGUUAGGGAAGAACAAGUACGAGAGUAACUGCUCGUACCUUGACGGUACCUAACCAGAAAGCCACGGCUAACUACGUGCCAGCAGCCGCGGUAAU
rnacentral:rRNA from 1 species